AUUGGAACACAAUUGGACCCUCAUCCAUCCCAGCUAAUGAGUCUACAACAGUAGAGAAUUCCAGAGUUGGACCCUCAGCCACCCCAGCUAAUGAUUCUAAUUCAGUAGGUAUGUGUUACAGAUACACAGCAUCAUGUGUUAGAGAUACACACUGUAACACAAACAUUUUUUCAUUUGCUCCUUAGUCUGAAAUACUGUAUAUGAAAUAUCCAUAUUAUAUCCUUAUAUAUCCUUUUUUUUGCACAGAGAAUUCCACAGUUGAUCCUUUACGCAUCCCAG
rnacentral:lncRNA from 1 species